rnacentral:rRNA from 1 species
AGGACGAACGCUGGCGGCGUGCCUAACACAUGCAAGUCGAACGGGGGUAGCAAUACCCCAGUGGCGAACGGGUGCGUAACACGUGAAGAACUUGUCCAUCGGCGGGGGAUAGCCGGCCCAACGGCCGGGUAAUACCGCGUACGCUUGCCGGGUGGCAUCACCUGGCAAGGAAAGCAGCAAUGCACCGAUGGAGAGCUUCGCGGCCUAUCAGCUAGUUGGCGGGGUAAUGGCCCACCAAGGCGACGACGGGUAGCUGGUCUGAGAGGAUGACCAGCCACAUUGGGACUGAGACACGGCCCAGACUCCUACGGGAGGCAGCAGUGGGGAAUAUUGCGCAAUGGGGGAAACCCUGACGCAGCGACGCCGCGUGUGGGAUGACGGCCUUCGGGUUGUAACCACUGUCGCGAGGGACGAAAAAAAUGACGGUACCUCGAAAGGAAGCACCGGCUAACUCUGUGCCAGCAGCCGC